AGGUCCAUUGUUGACAGAAAAGAGGACUUGUGAGUUCUAAGGGGCCAAAUUCGGGAUUCUCAGAGCACUGAGAAAGGUGGAUGUCAUCUUGGUCAUCUUGUGAAAGGGCCCUGAAAAAUACAUCAAAUUAUCCUCCAUGAAAAAAAAAAAUAGACAACCUAGGAACAAAACCACAAAUGCAGUUUGGUUUUCCCUGGAUGGGAGGUCUGAGGAUUUGGGUCUACAAGGCCAUGCAGCACAACCAACUGCUGAGCUGGAGUCAUAGCCUGUAUUUUCUAGAGGGCAUGGUUCAGAAUUCUUUCCCUUCAGAUGUGGAGGCCUCUGCACUUUCUGGUUCAGUUCCGACAGAGAAAAGAUUUGCUUCUAGUCUUCUGGCAAUGCUUGGGCAUUGAUGAACAUUCCAGGAUCCUGGGUUCCCCACCACGAUCACUACCACGUCUAUCAGCAGUAUCAUCAGUUUAGUAACUGUGCAUUUAUAAUGAAACACCAAA